rnacentral:rRNA from 1 species
UACGGGGGGGGCAAGCGUUGUUCGGAAUUACUGGGCGUAAAGGGCUCGUAGGCGGCCAACUAAGUCGGACGUGAAAUCCCUCGGCUCAACCGGGGAACUGCGUCCGAUACUGGAUGGCUUGAGUUCGGGAGAGGGAUGCGGAAUUCCAGGUGUAGCGGUGAAAUGCGUAGAUAUCUGGAGGAACACCGGUGGCGAAGGCGGGUCUCUGGGCCAACACUGACGCUGAGGCGCGAAAGCUAGGGGAGCAAACGGG